rnacentral:rRNA from 1 species
UACGUAGGUGGCGAGCGUUGUCCGGAAUUACUGGGUGUAAAGGGCGUGUAGGCGGGGAAGCAAGUCAGAUGUGAAAUCCCGGGGCACAACUCCGGAGUUUCAUCUGAAACUGUUUUUCUUGAGUGCUGGAGAGGAAAGCGGAAUUCCUAGUGUAGCGGUGAAAUGCGUAGAUAUUAGGAGGAACACCAGUGGCGAAGGCGGCUUUCUGGACAGUAACUGACGCUGAGGCGCGAAAGCGUGGGGAGCAAACAGGAUUAGAUACCCCGGUAGUCCCUGA